CAACUGAAAGUCGAUAAUCGAAUGUUGCACAUUUAAAAAAAAAGAUCCUCAUAGGUUGUCCACAAGUCCACCAUUUGAAAAAAGUUUCACUCAAACCAUGAAGGUCCUAUAUCAGUUCGAAGUACCUAUUAAAUUAAAACGGAAAUUUCAUACUUUAACCCCUAUUAUUUUGUGCGUUUACUAGGUAGGUAUUCAAGGCGUAAUUUUGCAAUUUAAUUUUAAUGAACUUGUGGCGGUAGCCAUCAAUGCGAUGCUACUGCAUUCACAUAUUUGACUAUCAAAUUUACGAAAACUGAAUAAAAAUCGAUUGGCAGUUAAAAAUAUAAAUCAUAAAAGCCAAAUUCCAACCUACCAAAUUUUAAUAUCCUUUGAAACUUCUAGCGACAGCUAUUGGUAGAAUUGGUAAAAUCAGUUUUAAAUAUUGUAGCCCACACACGUAGGUAAUACGUAAACCGACAAAAAGUUAGAUAGGGAAAGAAAAAAACUUGGAAGAAAGAGCCAACUAGUGGCACCAGUAAUCAUCAGUUAAACCAGCAAUAAAAUUAGUAGGUAGCAUAGUAAUUUGGGAUGGAUAAAAUAGAAGAAGAAACUUAUGUGAUGUUGCAGAUUAGUUCAUAACUCUAAAUCGUUAAUUUACUCACUGUUUAACUAGUUUUCUCAGAAAUAAAAAGAAUGAAUAAAAUGA